rnacentral:rRNA from 1 species
UCGGGAAUUUUGGGCAAUGGGCGAAAGCCUGACCCAGCAACGCCGCGUGAAGGAUGAAGUAUUUCGGUAUGUAAACUUCGAAAGAAUAGGAAGAAUAAAUGACGGUACUAUUUAUAAGGUCCGGCUAACUACGUGCCAGCAGCCGCGGUAAUACGUAGGGACCAAGCGUUGUUCGGAUUUACUGGGCGUAAAGGGCGCGUAGGCGGCUUGACAAGUCACUUGUGAAAUCUCUGGGCUUAACCCAGAACGGCCAAGUGAAACUGUCAUGCUAGAGUGCAGAAGGGGCAAUCGGAAUUCUUGGUGUAGCGGUGAAAUGCGUAGAUAUCAAGAGGAACACCUGAGGUGAAGACGGGUUGCUGGGCUGACACUGACGCUGAGGCGCGAAAGCCAGGGGAGCAAA